AGCGAACGCUGGCGGCAGGCCUAACACAUGCAAGUCGAACGAACCCUUCGGGGUUAGUGGCGGACGGGUGAGUAACACGUGGGAACGUGCCUUUAGGUUCGGAAUAACUCAGGGAAACUUGUGCUAAUACCGACUGUGACCUUCGGGGGAAAGAUUUAUCGCCUUUAGAGCGGCCCGCGUCUGAUUAGCUAGUUGGUGAGGUAAUGGCUCACCAAGGACAAGAUCAGUAGCUGGUCUGAGAGGAUGACCAGCCACAUUGGGACUGAGACACGGCCCAAACUCCUACGGGAGGCAGCAGUGGGGAAUCGUGCGCAAUGGGCGAAAGCCUGACGCAGCCAUGCCGCGUGGAUGAUGAAGGUCUUAGGAUUGUAAAAUCCUUUCACCGGUGAAGAUAAUGACUGUAGCCGGAGAAGAAGCCCCGGCUAACUUCGUGCCAGCCGCCGCGGUAACAC
rnacentral:rRNA from 1 species